UGUAACAUUUAAAAAUGUAACUAUUAGGAAAUGUAAAACCCAUUCUUGUGAGUGAUAUAAAAACAAGUGGUGGGUUGAAUUUGGCCCUGCUGUGGUUGUCCACCCCUGCUCUAGAGGAAUAAUAUACACAGAUAAUCACACCCCAAUCCACAAGACAGAGUCUCUCUUUCCCAGAGGUCCCAGAGCUAUGAUGACCAUGUGACCUAGUUCUACUCAACGCUGUGCAAGGAGAAGGCUGCAGCUGGGUUUCUGGGAGAAACUCUCCUACCAUUUUGC
rnacentral:lncRNA from 1 species